rnacentral:rRNA from 1 species
UAACCUGCCUGGUAGCGGGGGAUAACUAUUGGAAACGGAAGCUAAUACCGCAUAAGAGUAGAUGUUGCAUGACAUUUGCUUAAAAGAAUGCAAUUGCAUCACUACCAGAUGGACCUGCGUUGUAUUAGCUAGUUGGUGGGGUAACGGCUCACCAAGGCAACGAUACAUAGCCGACCUGAGAGGGUGAUCGGCCACACUGGGACUGAGACACGGCCCAG